UAGGGAAUCUUCGGCAAUGGGGGCAACCCUGACCGAGCAACGCCGCGUGAGUGAAGAAGGUUUUCGGAUCGUAAAGCUCUGUUGUAAGUCAAGAACGAGUGUGAGAGUGGAAAGUUCACACUGUGACGGUAGCUUACCAGAAAGGGACGGCUAACUACGUGCCAGCAGCCGCGGUAAUACGUAGGUCCCGAGCGUUGUCCGGAUUUAUUGGGCGUAAAGCGAGCGCAGGCGGUUUGAUAAGUCUGAAGUUAAAGGCUGUGGCUCAACCAUAGUUCGCUUUGGAAACUGUCAAACUUGAGUGCAGAAGGGGAGAGUGGAAUUCCAUGUGUAGCGGUGAAAUGCGUAGAUAUAUGGAGGAACACCGGUGGCGAAAGCGGCUCUCUGGUCUGUAACUGACGCUGAGGCUCGAAAGCGUGGGGAGCGAACAGGAUUAGAUACCCUGGUAGUCCACGCCGUNNCGAUGAGUGCUAGGUGUUAGGUCCUUUCCGGGACUUAGUGCCGCAGCUAACGCAUUAANCACUCCGCCUGGGGAGUACGACCGCAAGGNUG
rnacentral:rRNA from 1 species